GGUUCAGUGGUUUAGGGGUAUGAUUCUCGCUUUGGGUGCGAGAGGUCCCGGGUUCAAAUCCCGGCUGAGCCC
rnacentral:tRNA from 1 species